AUAGGGUCACUAAGGGAGGUUUGAGAUGUCAUAGCUUGAACUCACUUUCUGCCUGCCCUCGGCUUCCUAACUGCAGCUGCGAUGUGACCCCUCAUGUACCAGCUGCCAUGCUCUCCCUGCUGUGAUGGGGCGUAGCCUCUUAAACUGAAGCCAGAUAAUCCCUUCUCUCCAAAGUGGAUUCUUGUAACGUAUAUUGUUCAUGACAAGAAAAGUGAUCCAACGGUAAAGAAAACAUCCGUUUCUUGUGGCAGCUGAGCUGAGUUGUACAUGCAUCAGUCAUCUGAGAUCUGGGAGAUGUAGAAAGAACAGCAAGUGCAGAGCCCCAAGGGAGACAUAAACUAUAACAGACAUGAGAAAAAUUCCUAGUUAAAGAAGAUCACUGUUGCUCCAGCAUACUCGUGAUUCAUGCACCCAUUGUACAUGAGAACCUCAGCCAAGUCGAAGACCCAAGUUCAGCCCCUGGAGCAAUGAAUGACAUAGGAGAGAACUGAAGCCCAGAGGUUGUCCCCUCACUUCCACGUGCGUACCAUACCAUGUGCACCCAUACACGAAUAAAUAUUAAAAAACUA